GAUGAACGCUGGCGGCGUGCCUAAUACAUGCCAGUCGAGCGAACACAUGGUGAGCUUGCUCCUCUAACGUUAGCGGCUGACGGGUGGGUAACACGUGUAUAACCUCCCUAUAUGUCUUGGAUAACUUCGGGGAAACGCAGCUGCUACCAUAUAAUAUAUUCAACCGCAUAGUUCAAUGGUGAAACACGGUUUUCGUGUCACUUAUAGAUGGAUUCGCGCCGCAUUAGCUAGUUGGUAAGGUACCGGCUUACCAAGGCAACGAUGCGUAGCCGACCUGAGAGGGUGAUCGGCCACACUGGAACUGAGACACGGUCAAGACUCCUACGGGAGGCAGCAAUAGGGAAUAUUCCGCAAUGGGCGAAAGCCUGACGGAGCAACGCCGCGUGAGUGAUGAAGGUCUUCGGAUUGUAAAACUCUGUUAUUAGGGAAGAACAACUGUGUAAGUAACUAUGGACGUCUUGACGGUACCUAAUCAGAAAGCCCCGGCUAACUACGUG
rnacentral:rRNA from 1 species